UACGGAGGGGGCUAGCGUUGUUCGGAAUUACUGGGCGUAAAGCGCGCGUAGGCGGCUUUGUAAGUCAGAGGUGAAAGCCCGGAGCUCAACUUCGGAAUAGCCUUUGAGACUGCAUCGCUUGAAUCCGGGAGAGGUGAGUGGAGUUCCGAGUGUAGAGGUGAAAUUCGUAGAUAUUCGGAAGAACACCAGUGGCGAAGGCGGCUCACUGGACCGGCAUUGACGCUGAGGUGCGAAAGCGUGGGGAGCAAACAGG
rnacentral:rRNA from 1 species